rnacentral:rRNA from 1 species
AACGAACGCUGGCGGCAUGCCUAACACAUGCAAGUCGAACGAGAUCUUCGGGUCUAGUGGCGCACGGGUGCGUAACGCGUGGGAAUCUGCCCUUUGGUUCGGAAUAACGGUUGGAAACGACUGCUAAUACCGGAUGAUGACGAAAGUCCAAAGAUUUAUCGCCAGAGGAUGAGCCCGCGUAGGAUUAGCUAGUUGGUGUGGUAAAGGCGCACCAAGGCGACGAUCCUUAGCUGGUCUGAGAGGAUGAUCGGCCACACUGGGACUGAGACACGGCCCAGACUCCUACGGGAGGCAGCAGUGGGGAAUAUUGGACAAUGGGCGAAAGCCUGAUCCAGCAAUGCCGCGUGAGUGAUGAAGGCCUUAGGGUUGUAAAGCUCUUUUACCCGGGAUGAUAAUGACAGUACCGGGAGAAUAAGCUCCGGCUAACUCCGUGCCAGCAGCCGCCGUAA